rnacentral:rRNA from 1 species
UGCUACAAUGGUCGGUACAAAGAGGUGCGAUACCGUGAGGUGGAGCGAAUCUCACAAAGCCGAUCUAAGCCCGGAUUGAAGGCUGAAACUCGCCUUCAUGAAGUCGGAGUCGCUAGUAAUCGUGGAUCAGAAUGCCACGGUGAAUACGUUCCCGGCCUU